GAUGAACGCUAGCGGCAGGCUUAAUACAUGCAAGUCGAGGGACAGCACAGGUAGCAAUACUGGGUGGUAACCGGCAAACGGGUGCGGAACACGUACACAACCUUCCUUUAAGUGGGGGAUAGCCCAGAGAAAUUUGGAUUAAUACCCCGUAAUAUAGUUGAAUGGCAUCAUUUGAUUAUUAUAGCUACGGCGCUUAAUGAUGGGUGUGCGGCUGAUUAGAUAGUUGGCGGGGUAACGGCCGACCAAGUCUACGAUCACUAGCUGAUGUGAGAGCAUGGCCAGCCACGCGGGCACUGAGAGCCGGGCCCGGCUCCUACGGGAGGCAGCAGUAAGGAAUAUUGGUCGAUGGACGCAAGUCUGAACCAGCCAUGCCGCGUGAAGGAUUAAGGUCCUCUGGAUUGUAAACUUCUUUUAUUUGGGACGAAAAAGGGCCUUUCUAGGUCAACUGACGGUACCAGAUGAAUAAGCACCGGCUAACUCCGUGCCAGCAGCCGCGGUAACAC
rnacentral:rRNA from 1 species